rnacentral:lncRNA from 10 species
UGCUUUUCUAGCAAUAGUGAAUAAGUCUCAUGAGAUCUAAUGGUUGUAAAAAGGGGAGUUCUCCUGCAUAAACUCUCUCUUUGUAGGAGCUAAGAUUGCAAGAUCAGGGAGAGAGCAGGGCCAAACUAUAUCCGGCUUUGUAGGCCUUGGUGAGGACUUCUAUUCUCAUUCUGAAUGAGAAAGGAAGUCAACAGAAACUUUUUAACCAAGUGGCAAUAUGAUCUGAUUUGCAUUUUACGAGGAUCUCAUUGACCACCACAUAAAAAAAAGGCUCUAGAAAACCAAGGACAAAAGCAGGAAGAACCUUCACAAGACCAGUGCAACAAUCCAGAGCAAGUCACCUUGGAAGAUAACUUUUUUGUUCAGAGAAGAAUCACUGGAAUGGUCCUUUUAAGAAAAAGCAAGCCAAGAAGACCAGAGGCUACCACUGAUGCUGAAUGACCAUCUCAUAAACCACUCAUGUCAUUCUGAGGGAAGCAGGCCCAUGUCCUUACUCCCAUCUCUGGAGCAGUAGCUUAGAGAUUUGCUAAGGGAGUAAGGCAGGCAUACAAAUUAUAGGUUGAAAAAGUACAGUAAAUGAAAUAAAAAAUAGAGUAGUAGAUUAGAACUAAAAGAUGAAACAUUCAGCAAACAUGAAACUAGGUUGCAAGAAAUUAUGCAAUCUAAAGAACUGAGAUAAAAGAAUAAAGAAAGUGAAUAAUGCUACAGAGGAAUAUAGGACAUCAUUUACCACCAUCAUACGCCUAAUAGGACUACUAGGAGAAGAGAUAAGAGAGAAAGCAAUAGAAAAACUACUUAAUGAACUAAUGGUUAAAAACUUUUCAAAUUUGAUGUAAAACAUGAAUCUAUAUAUUCAAAAAUCUCCAAAAUCUCCAAGGGCCAAACCAUCAGAAAAUUAUGAUUAUAAACAUACAUGCACCAAACAUAGCCUCAGGAUACAUGAAAUGAAGACUAGAAAUAGAAGGGAAAUUCCUCAACCCAAUAAAGGACAGCUGAGAAAAAUCCACAGCCAACAUCACGGUGAAAGAUUAAAUGUCAUCCACCUAAAAUCAGGAAAAAGACAAGAUUCUCCAUUCCUGUCACUUCUAUUCAAAACUUUACUGGAUAUUUUAUCCAGUACAGUUCGAUUAGAAGGAGAAAAAAAGGAAGGAAGGAAGGAAG